AAGUCGUAACAAGGUAUCCGUAGGUGAACCUGCGGAUGGAUCAUUACCAAAGGAUCCACAUCCCACGUAUUGUGAACCGUUUGGUGGGGCGGUAAGGGUUGGUUUCGGCCAGCGUUUACCGCCGCACACAUUCUACACGUCUAUGCGCACAACUGAAGUAUUGUAUGCACACAAAACUACAACAACUGUUAGCAAUGGAUCUCUUGGCUCUU
rnacentral:misc_RNA from 1 species